rnacentral:lncRNA from 1 species
GUAUUUUAGUUUGAAGACUAGGUAAUGAGUCAAUGCUCUGGUCAUGUAACACUGGGUAGAUUAGUAGUAUUGAACUCGUAUCCUAUUUGGAUAAGUAUUAUGUUAUUACUUGUGAACAUGCUUAUUUGCAAUUGCUGUUGAGAGGCCAUAGUGCCAAAUAUUCUGAUUAUGGUUUUAGUUUAUUUUGAAGAGAUUAUUGAGAGAUGAUC